rnacentral:rRNA from 1 species
CCUAAGUGGGAAACGAAGUGGGAAGGCUAAAACAGUCAGGAUGUUGGCUUAGAAGCAGCCAUCAUUUAAAGAAAGCGUAAUAGCUCACUGAUCGAGUCGUCCUGCGCGGAAGAUGUAACGGGGCUAAGCCAGUUACCGAAGCUGCGGAUUUGCACGCAAGUGCAAGUGGUAGGAGAGCGUUCUGUACGCCUGUGAAGGUGGAUCGUGAGGUCUGCUGGAGGUAUCAGAAGUGCGAAUGCUGACAUGAGUAGCGUUAAAGGGGGUGAAAAGCCCCCUCGCCGAAAGCGCAAGGUUUCCUACGCAACGUUCAUCGGCGUAGGGUGAGUCGGCCCCUAAGGUGGGGCAGAGAUGCGUAACUGAUGGGAAACAGGUCAAUAUUCCUGUACCGAUGUGUAGUGCGAUGUGGGGACGGAGAAGGUUAACUCGGCCAGGUGUUGGAUAUCCUGGUUCAAGCUUGUAGUCGUGGCCCUUAGGCAAAUCCGGGGGUCUUAGAUGAGGAGUGAUAACGAGGCGGCUUGCCGCCGAAGUGAGUGAUACCCUGCUUCCAGGAAAAGCCACUAAGCUUCAGCUACACACGACCGCACCGCAAACCGACACUGGUGCGCGAGAUCAGUAUUCUAAGGCGCUUGAGAGAACUCUGGAGAAGGAACUCGGCAAAUUGACACCGUAACUUCGGAAGAAGGUGUGCCUUUAGUAGGUGAAGUCGUACAGACGGAGCCCAAUGAGGCCGCAGAGAAUCGGUGGCUGCGACUGUUUACUAAAAACACAGCACUCUACAAAGACGAAAGUCGACGUAUAGGGUGUGACGCCUGCCCGGUGCUGGAAGAUUAAAUGAUGGGGUGCAAGCUCUUGAUUGAAGUCCCAGUAAACGGCGGCCGUAACAAUAACGGUCCUAAGGUAGCGAAAUUCCUUGUCGGGUAAGUUCCGACCUGCACGAAUGGCGUAACGAUGGCCACACUGUCUCCUCCAGAGACUCAGCGAAGUUGAAAUGUUUGUGAUGAUGCAAUCUCCCCGCGGAAAGACGGAAAGACCCCAUGAACCUUUACUGUAGCUUUACAUUGGACUUUGAACAGAUCUGUGUAGGAUAGGUGGGAGGCUUUGAAGCGGUGCCGCUAGGUGUCGUGGAGCCAACGUUGAAAUACCACCCUGGUGUGUUUGAGGUUCUAACCUUGGCCCGUAAUCCGGGUUGGGGACAGUGUAUGGUGGGCAGUUUGACUGGGGCGGUCUCCUCCCAAAGUGUAACGGAGGAGUUCGAAGGUACGCUAGGCACGGUGAAAAAAG